rnacentral:rRNA from 1 species
CCAAGGAGUCCAACAUGUGCGCAAGUCAUUGGGUUCUACGAAACCUAAAGGCGAAAUGAAAGUGAAAGGCAUCACUAGAUGUCUGAGGUGUGAUCCAGAUCACUAGAUUUGGCGCAACACCGUCCGGUCACUUUUGCAUAGCAAUGUGGCCGAGAAAGAGCGUACACGUUGGGACCCGAAAGAUGGUGAACUAUGCCUGAGCAGGAUGAAGCCAGAGGAAACUCUGGUGGAGGUCCGUAGCGAUUCUGACGUGCAAAUCGAUCGUCAAACUUGGGUAUAGGGGCGAAAGACUAAUCGAACCAUCUA